CAUGCAAGUCGAGGGGUAACAGGGAUUGCUUGCAAUCCGCUGACGACCGGCGCACGGGUGCGUAACGCGUAUGCAACCUACCUUCUACAGGGGGAUAGUCAAUAGAAAUGUUGAAUAAUACCCCAUACGAUCUUUGAAUAGCAUUAUUUAAAGAAGAAAGUUCCGGCGGUAGAAGAUGGGCAUGCGUCCUAUUAGUUAGUUGGAGAGGUAACGGCUCCCCAAGACAUCGAUAGGUAGGGGUCCUGAGAGGGAGACCCCCCACACUGGUACUGAGACACGGACCAGACUCCUACGGGAGGCAGCAGUGAGGAAUAUUGGACAAUGGAGGCAACUCUGAUCCAGCCAUGUCGCGUGCAGGAAGACUGCCCUAUGGGUUGUAAACUGCUUUUAUACAGGAAGAAAUGUACCUACGUGUAGGUAUUUGACGGUACUGUACGAAUAAGGAUCGGCUAACUCCGUGCCAGCAGCCGCGGUAAUACGGAGGAUCCAAGCGUUAUCCGGAAUCAUUGGGUUUAAAGGGUCCGUAGGCGGUCUUUUAAGUCAGAGGUGAAAUCCUACAGCUCAACUGUAGAAUUGCCUUUGAUACUGAAGGACUUGAGUUAUUGUGAGUAGU
rnacentral:rRNA from 1 species